UACGGGGGGGAGCAAGCGUUGUUCGGAUUUACUGGGCGUAAAGGGCGCGUAGGCGGCCACCGCAAGUCGAUUGUGAAAUCUCCGGGCUUAACCCGGAAAGGUCAACCGAUACUGCGGGGCUAGAGUGCAGAAGGGGCAACUGGAAUUCUCGGUGUAGCGGUGAAAUGCGUAGAUAUCGAGAGGAACACCUGCGGCGAAGGCGGGUUGCUGGGCUGACACUGACGCUGAGGAGCGAAAGCGUGGGGAGCAAACAGG
rnacentral:rRNA from 1 species